CCUACGGGAGGCUGCAGUGAGGAAUAUUGGUCAAUGGGCGUAAGCCUGAACCAGCCAAGUCGCGUGAGGGAUGAAGGUUCUAUGGAUCGUAAACCUCUUUUAUAAGGGAAUAAAGUGUGGGACGUGUCCUGUUUUGUAUGUACCUUAUGAAUAAGGAUCGGCUAACUCCGUGCCAGCAGCCGCGGUAAUACGGAGGAUCCGAGCGUUAUCCGGAUUUAUUGGGUUUAAAGGGUGAGUAGGCGGAGUUUUAAGUCAGCGGUGAAAGUCUGUGGCUCAACCAUAUAAUUGCCGUUGAAACUGGGAGGCUUGAGUAUGAUUGAGGCAGGCGGAAUGCGUGGUGUAGCGGUGAAAUGCUUAGAUAUCACGCAGAACCCCGAUUGCGAAGGCAGCCUGCCAAGCCAUGACUGACGCUGAUGCACGAAAGCGUGGGGAUCAAACAGGAUUAGAUACCCGAGUAGUC
rnacentral:rRNA from 1 species